UGACAUCAUUCCUAAGUGCUGUGUGAUUGGAUCCUGGAUCUUUUGUGAUGUCUUUUGUAGACAGGUGUGUUCCCUUGGUUACCCCCCAACAAUGGCAAAUAAAUAUAGGAGGAGCUGGGAGGAGAGGACAGAGUCCAUGAGUUCAGUCCAUACCAAUACAGAAUACAGGGCAGUUCCCAAUUGCAUUCUUGCAUCCGUUCACUCAUGCAUUAAUACAAAAGUUGGAACACAAUGCAAGGACAAUGUAAAGCAGACAUUCAUGAGUGUAGCAAAAGAUUGCAUAUUGGAUGUUUAAAAUUAUAUCCCUGUAUAGAAUCACACCCGUAAGUAUGAGCAUUUGUACAUUCAUAAAUUAGGGGCAUCCUAAUCCAAAGUAACACAAAGUAAGUUAUUGAACCAAGUAUCAUUAAUUGAAAACAUGUUCGACUGAUAUAACAGAUGAAUUUUAUCUCAGGAGUAUCCCAGGCUGAGUUCUGAAAAAUGAGAGAGAAGACAAAGCAUCUUCACACCAACUGGAAUUGAAGAAAUAUCUCUUGAUUCACAGAGGAGACCUAGUAGGACCAUGAUUCUUGGUGUCAGGGACAAGAUGAAACGGGAAGAUUCAACAAUGUUUCAAGAGGUCUAUUAAGAGUGUUAUAAUCCAGAUUUUGCCACAGUCAGAAUCAAACAGCCAGUGGAUGUUGGCCAACAUCUACAAUAAGGUACAUGACAACCAACUGAACGAAUUUCCCACCCAUGACCUCGUCAAUUCUCUUCAAAGAUUUCUGGGACUGUGGAAGACACAACAGACGGGCAACAAAGAGGGAGGACUCAGGGAGUCGUCAAUCAGUUGUCUCUAUCUGUUGCUGCUCCGAAGCUGAUGGAGAGAAGGAUAUAACGGCAGUUCUGCAGCAAUGAAAUAUUGAUCAGUAGGAAGAUCCAAAUUGUUAGGCGCACAGUGACAUUUGAUCCCAUAGGAAGGGAAGAAAGAUGGAAUGAAGUGAUCUGUAAUAAAUGGAAUGUUGAAGCACGAAUGUUUCCGAAUUGAACAAGCAAACCAAUUACUCUCAGUCUCAUAAUAUUUCACGACUGCUUAUGGAGUGGGUUGUCCCAAUGAGAUGGCUAUCCUGUGAAGCUCACCAUUUGUUCCUGAUUUGUUUAGUUCAGAGUUAGUUCCUUUGGGUGUGUCAGUUAGCUCAGUUGGCUAGAGUGGGCUACAGAAUGGAGUUAAUGGGUUCAAGCAACAUACAGGUUGUGGUGGUCUACUUCCUCUUCUGACUUUGAUUUGAUUUAUUGUUGUCACAUGUACCUAAGUAUGGUGAACAUUAUUGUUUCGUGAGUAGAAGCAGAUCAUAACAUACAAGGACAGACCGAGGCAUACAGAGUUACAGCUGGACAGAAGGUGUACAAAAGCAAAAUCAACAUUAGAUUUGCAAUGUGAGAGGUCCAUUCAGCAGUAGACUUCCUAUUUUGGACAGUCUAUCACUAGCUGGAGGAACCACAUGGAUGAAAUAGAAUGUCAUUGAUGGUGAAAGCAGUUUGUGAGGACACAUCUCCAGGGACAAAGAACAGAGCAAUUGUGGAUCAGUCUGAAAGGUUGGAUCACAGAUAAAUGGACUCUAGUAAUUACAAUAUUUAAAUGGUAAUUUGCUUUCAAGCUAUUGAAUGGAUAUGUUUGCUUUGUAGGGCUUGUCUCAUCCAAAAUGUUACAUUUGAGCGAGUUUCCCAAUCCAGGUGAUUAAGAAGACCUGUGUUAUGUUAUCAUGGUGCAUUUCAUAUAGAGAGGAUUGAUUUUCAAUCAACAGAGACAAGAGGAGAGAAUGAAACCUUCACCAUUUCAAAAUAUUUCAUUAACCGAGACUUGGAUGGAAAUAGAAGUUCAAAGCUGGAAGCGAUCUCUUCAUCAAGCCAAUUUGAGAGAGGGAAGAUAACUGACAAAGACAGUGUCAUUAUUAGGAACAGCUUCCUGAGGUUGCCAGAGCUGUUUGUACAGAGGGGUUGUGUCAGUGAACCAUCCCACUGAGCUGAACAUUUCCGUGGGGUAGAUUUGGAAAUGGGUGGCGGUUUGAAGUGAGGGAAAUGGAUCAGGAAGUUGGCUCCAACCCAUUGGCUAACGCAUUGACUUGAUUGCAUAUGCCCUUCCCAGGAGGGGCGGGUUGACCAUUUCUAUCAAUUAGAGCAAUAUUGCCACAUGGUCCUCACUUUAUUUAACACUGGGACCAGGGAGUCUUUAGUCUUCCGGAAGCUCACUCAGUGAAAGUGAGGGGAGGACAAAACAGUAACUGGUCAAAGCUGAUGUGGACUCAGACAGACGUGUCAAUAAAUACUCUUCACUUACUGUCACUUUCUUACCUGGUCAAGGGGCUGGAAAUGAGCAGUAUUCCACGUAAAUAAUAUAUAAAUAUUCAGCUUGAAACAGGUAAAGCAUUGGCUUGGUAUUGUCAGUUUUGAGGGAAGCUGGAGGAAAGACUUAGAGGAUAGCAAGGAGACCAUGGCUCAAUGGGACUGAGUAGGACAGCAACUGUUAGAUUUAGGAAAUCCCCACUUAACACUGUUAUUGUGUUUCAGAAAUAAGCAGUUUUAAAUGAACAACAUUGAGCAAAUCAGAUUUCCCCAUUACAAUCAUCGUGAAAGCUGCAAUUCAGAGAUUUUCUGUCAGAGAGGCAAAAUUUGUAAGUUGAAACACCAUAAUUCCUAAAUUCUUAAAUGAAUAGGAGUUUAUUUCUCUGAAUUGAAUCAAAUAAAAAUAAGGUAAAUUUAAGUAAAAGUGAUGUAGGUGUAAAGGGAGAUGCUGUUCACCAGCUUUCAGGUUUUGUAGUGGUCUGGCUCCAUCUAGUGGCAGACUGGACAAGCUGCUACUGCUCUGCUGCAAAGACUUGACCAGCGAGAGCAAGGGAAAAGGAAGAGUUCUCAGUGAUGGUACAGAGGAAUAUUCAGGAGUGAAUUUUAACCAGUCCUCCUUGGUGACUAGAAGCUUCCUCAGCUCUUCACAAAUCACCCACCCCAAUGUCCAAUCCAACCCAAGCACUCCUCCUGACCCUACCUUCCCCACUCCCAGACUGAGAAUGCACAGUGGGUGUAGCCAUUUUGAAAGGUCAGAUUCCUGGAUUUUUUUUCCCCACCUUGUGGAAACAAUGUCAAGGCCUUUGUAUCCUCCUCACAACUUGCUUAGAUAUCUAUCCUUCUAUCAUCAACUGUUUUGGUUACAAAAAUAGCCUGUUCCUCCACCCCAAGGCACGAGUGCAAAUUGUAAACUGGGAAAAUGUGAAAAUCAUGCUGGGGUCAGGGGGUGGGAGGAGACCCUAAAAAGGGACCUGUACUGAACCGAGAUGAUAGCUAAAAAUGCAUGCAUUUUUCCUGCUCCUAAUACCAGCAUAGAAGGUGAAAGCUACCUCUUGAUAUCAGCAUCUGCCCACGCUUGGGAAAAUGCACAAAGGUGGGAAAGGAGGCCCUUAAGUGGGGGUUAUAAUUUGGGUGCAAGCACAGAGCGCUGACUGGCUUUCCUCUGCACCAUAACACUUCUGUGAUUCUGUAAUUGGCCAUUUAAAGGUCUCAGUAGACCUGCAGAGGGGGAGAAUUUCCAGUGCCUGCUCCAUUGCAGAAAGUUUGCCAUGAGGUGGAUAGAUAAGCUUUGGUAAAAGCACCAAGGCAUUGCAAUCAAUUUGGUACUCUACCCAUGUGCCAACCCACCACCAGAGUGUUGUUAUGUUCACCCUUUGGUGAGUGCCUGCUAGUAUAACUGGCAGAGCUAAUACUGAACAAUUUUGUUCUGCUCAGCUGAAGUCUACAAUCAUCAAGCAUAUUGAAAAAAAUAAGUUCCAAAAUGAGCUAAAAUUUCAUGGUGCAAAUAACACAUUUAAUGAAAUUGACCUCUCUUUAUGUUCCUUUGUCUA